UACGUAGGGUGCAAGCGUUUGUCCGGAAUUAUUGGGCGUAAAGAGCUCGUAGGCGGCUUGUCACGUCUGCUGUGAAAACUUGGGGCUCAACUCCAAGCCUGCAGUGGAUACGGGGCUAGCGUAGAGUGCGGUAGGGGGAGGACUGGAAUUCCGUGGUGUAGCGGUGAAAUGGCGACAGAUAUCAGGAGGAACGAGCCGGCUGGGCGGAA
rnacentral:rRNA from 1 species